GACGAACGCUGGCGGUGUGCCUAAUACAUGCAAGUAGAACGCAGUUUCGAACGGGUGAGUAACACGUAGGUAAAUGCCUCAUAGCGGGGGAAAACUAUUUGAAACGGUAGCUAAAACCGCAUACUGUGAGAUGGACCUGCGUUGUAUUUGCUAGUUGGUGGGGGAAAGGCGCACCAAGGCGCCUAUACAUAGCCGACCUGGGAGGGGGAACGGCCAAACUGGGACUGGGACAAGGCCCAGAACCCCACCGGAGGGAGGAGUAGGGAAACUUCGGAAAAGGAGGGAAGUCUGACCGAGCAAAGCCGCGGGAGUGAAGAAGGUUUUCGGAGCGUAAAACUCCGUUGUUAGAGAAGCGGUAACUAAACAGAAAGGGACGGCUAACUACGUGCCAGCAGCCGCGGUAAUAC
rnacentral:rRNA from 1 species